CUGAUGACCUGUCAUAUGGUUAAGAAGAUAGGACCUUCCCUGUCCUGCCACUGCCCUGCUGCCCAGAUUCGUUUUUUUUAAGGAUGUUGUUGGAAGCUCCCCGUUGAGCAUUUAAAUAAAAAAACAUUGAAAGGUGGGCUAAAAAUACAGAGUAGUUAAUAAAUGUAUUUAAACUGAAUUAAUUUUUUGAUUGAAUCAUUAAAAAGCAAACGAGUAAACAGCUACUGGUUUCUAAUCCUUGGCAUUAAAUUUGCUUUUGUAGCUUGUAGGAUUUUGCUUGCCACGCUCUGUAGCAGCCUCAAGUGCACUAGGACAGGUGGCCUUGGGCCAAUUGCGCUCUCUUCACUUAACAUAGGAUUGCUGUGAAGAUGAUAAAGAGUGUGUGUGUGUGAGAGAGAGAGAGAGAGAGAGAAAGAGACCCUGUAUGUUGCCUU